GCACCCGUAGCUCAAUUGGAUAGAGCGUCUGACUACGGAUCAGAAGGUUUGGGGUUCGAGUCCCUACGGGUGCGCCA
rnacentral:tRNA from 2 species